rnacentral:misc_RNA from 1 species
UUCGAGCGUCAUUACAACCCUCAAGCUCUGCUUGGUAUUGGGCCCUCGCCUCCCGGCGGGCCUCAAAAUCAGUGGCGGCGUCAUCCGACUCUAAGCGUAGUAAUUCUUCUCGCUCUGGAGCUCGGCCGGCGGCUUGCCAUCGAACCCCAAUUUUAUCAAAGGUUGACCUCGGAUCAGGUAGGGAUACCCGCUGAACUUAA